AAUGAACGCUGGCGGCAGGCCUAACACAUGCAAGUCGAACGGGUCCUUCGGGACUAGUGGCGGACGGGUGAGUAACGCGUGGGAACAUACCCUUUGGUACGGAAUAGCCUCGGGAAACUGAGAGUAAUACCGUAUGUGCCCUUCGGGGGAAAGAUUUAUCGCCAAAGGAUUGGCCCGCGUUGGAUUAGGUAGUUGGUGGGGUAAUGGCCUACCAAGCCGACGAUCCAUAGCUGGUUUGAGAGGAUGAUCAGCCACACUGGGACUGAGACACGGCCCAGACUCCUACGGGAGGCAGCAGUGGGGAAUCUUAGACAAUGGGGGAAACCCUGAUCUAGCCAUGCCGCGUGAUCGAUGAAGGCCUUAGGGUUGUAAAGAUCUUUCAGCUGGGAAGAUAAUGACGGUACCAACAGAAGAAGCCCCGGCUAACUCCGUGCCAGCCGCCGCGGUAACAC
rnacentral:rRNA from 1 species